rnacentral:tRNA from 1 species
AUGAAGGGCUAAUCCUUCCUCUCCUAGUUU